rnacentral:rRNA from 1 species
AUUUUCAGCGAUGGAUGUCUUGGCUC